GGAGUAGCAAGGCCGGUCUCCAAUUCCCCGUUGGUCGUAUCGCCCGCUUCCUCAAAGCUGGCAAGUACGCCGAGCGCGUCGGCGCCGGCGCUCCGGUCUAUCUUGCAGCCGUCCUCGAGUAUCUUGCUGCCGAGGUAUGUUUGAUGUUUCUCUCUGAGAUUUCUCAGGCGGUUUCUUUGUUCGCUCGUAUGAACUCCUGUUUUGUGGCUGAAAAAACGGAGGAAGGAGAGAGACGAAUCUUUCAAUCUUUGUCGCGCAUCUUAGCUUUUUGACCUAGAUUUCUGGUUUUCUGUCAUUUUUCUGUAGUUUAUUGUAGCACUAUUAAGUUUUCUUGAUGAUGUCAAAGUGUUGAGGUGCUCAAUUCGAAUAAUUGGCUUACAGGUACUGGAAUUGGCUGGGAACGCAGCGAGAGACAACAAGAAAACCCGUAUUGUGCCUCGCCAUAUUCAACUGGCGGUGAGAAACGACGAAGAGCUCAGCAAAUUGCUCGGGUCGGUCACUAUUGCCAACGGCGGUGUGAUGCCCAACAUUCACAAUCUCUUGUUGCCCAAGAAAUCUAGUUCUUCCAAAGGCGGUGCAGCAGCUGAUGAUGAUAACUGAGCCAAUCGAUUCUCAUGAAGUACAAAACGAGAACAUAGGAGCAGUAGUUAGGAGUUCGCAUUUGAUUUUUAGUGUCUCUUUGGUUUUUUUUUUCCCCUUCUUUUUGGGAUUAGGGUUUCAUUCUUGCCUGUGUAGAUUGGUGAAAAUAGCUUAAGCUGAUGUACUACUUCAAUCAAUCAACGAAAGAAUCGGUAAUUUUCUUCCAAGUUUGGCAUCAAUUUGUUUGUGCUACUGUUAUUGCUAUUUGUCUGUGACUGGGAUGUUUGGUUUCCUAGAAAAUGUAAGGGGAUAAAAAAAAUCCCUCUGAUAAAGAAUGCCUAUGGACCAAUGUUCAUUAGAGUCCUGGUUAGGAUGGAAAAUUUUGAAGAAUCAGGAUUUUCCUGCUUUUAUUUUUCCUUUAGUGCGUGAAUUGUUGUUAUUCUAAAUCCCAUCUAUAAGGGAUCUGGUUGAAAUUCCAAUUCUAGUAAGCUAAGCUUCAAACAAUUCCGAAACCAAUACUGUUGACUUUAAAAAGCCAAAACAUUUACUUUCACAUGGAACAUGGCAGCAAUGGAAACGAUGGCCAUGCUGAAAUCUGUACCAGGCUACAUAGACGGGCACAAAAAAAUGGGGCUACACUGAAGCAGAUGCGGCUUGAGGGUGGUGCUGCUUCCUUUCUUCUCGAGCAACUGCGGCGGCUGACACAUAAUAAGCAACGGAAAACAGUGCAUGAAUGAAACACAGAACCCCUCCUAUGGACAGAAAAUGGGUGUGAAGUAUCGUGCAAGAUUUCUUCGAUUUUGAGUUUGCUGUUGUCCCUAUGAUCAGACACGAGAAUGCUACUGCUAAUAUAAUCCUGAAACAUUCAACAUCUAAAUGUAAGAAUGCCCAAGAAGAAAUCAUCUGCCUGAAAAAACCCACCCUGAAAACUUACCAUGCAAAAAUGAGGGAACCCAUUGCAAGCUUCUUGUUUGCUGUUGCUUCUUCUAGUUCUUUCUUGGACCUUAUGUAUAUGCAUCCACCAAGCAGGUUAGCAGUGACUUGCCCCAUUAUCAGAAAUAUUGAUGCAGCCAACCCCAGGUUGUAAGAUUUGUGGCUUGGGCUUCUGCACUCAAAUAUCCACAGCCUUGCAUGUGUCACCUGUUCAACAUCAGUUAAAAAACUCAUUAAUAGAAGCAUCCAAGCCCAUAGUUUUUGGUCUUUUCGAUACAGGGAAAAGCAUCAAAAUACCUUGUGCUGAGCCUUUUCAGCUUCAAUGGCAAGUAUCCCUGCUACUAUGUCCAAAACCAUGAUCAAGAUACACAGGAUUGGGCCCAGGUCUUUGUGUAGUUUCUCCAAUCUAGACAUUUUUUCAGAGUUGAAAAAGAGCUCUGAAGAGUAGAAAGGGACCAGCUAUGAGGAANNNNNNNNNNNNNNNNNNNNNNNNNNNNNNNNNNNNNNNNNNNNNNNNNNNNNNNNNNNNNNNNNNNNNNNNNNNNNNNNNNNNNNNNNNNNNNNNNNNNAUAAGCACCUUAGAAAGUGCUCUGAAGAGAAGAUAGGGAUAAGUUAAAGAGGAAUUUCUCUAUUUAUAAGCACAUAGAGGUUUAUAGUUUGCCUUUAUUCCACCAUUGUUUCUGCUUUGCUUUACAUGGGGGACAAGAAAAGCAGGGUAUCACCAGCCCUGCUUCACAUUCAGUCAUUCCUUUCUUCAUCUCCAUUUUCAUGAUUCCUCUGCUCACUUUCCUCAAUUCCAACUUACAGCAGUCCUCAUGCUUUGUCCGACCCUCUUCAUUUUCCUUUUAACUUUCUGUUUGGUUACUGAGAAAAUUGAGCCUCAUGUAAUAGAAUCAAAAUUUGAAACCAAGCCUUUGCAUUGUUUCAAGGGACGAGGAUUCAAUCCCAACCGCAAGACUUAUUUGUUUGUUUAUUUAUAAUUUCGAGACUGUUAUAAUCUUUUUAACUUCAUGAAAUUUAGUAAUCCUGUCCCUCAAAACAGACUCUUACAUCCUGGAUUGAAGGUGAAAGAAAGUUUACUACGUCCUAAAAAAAAAUGGCAAGAUUGGGGUGAAAAUGAUGGCAUUAGUCUUCAUAAAAGACGUGGUAACAGCAGCAGUAACGAAUCUGACUUUUCUUGUUACUGACGUGGCGGCCUACAUGUUCUGACCUGGCCUUUAGGUCACGUCAAAUUUGCUAUUUCCAGAAUGUUUUAUCGAGUAUCAUCCAUUCGGAUUCUGAAAUGGAUGUGGACGCAUCAAUUUAGUUUUUGCAAUAGCAUUGUCAUCUUUAUAAAAAUCAUCCACCUACACGUGUCGAGAAACCCCGUUUCUAGAAAGAGCUCGACACUUCUCAAAGCCAGUUCAAGAGUGCAUCAUACGUUCUCUCUCGCAUUUCUCCGUUUGGCCGUCUGUGAAUUGCAAAGAUGUCGGCGUAUCGGUGGAAGAGCUUCCAUGAGGACGAGGAUCGGCCGGAGAAGCCUCGCCGAUUUGGUGUGACGGAGAUGAGAGGCCCGCAUUAUACCCUCUUGACCCAGAACGUACUUCAGGUUUGUUUUUCUUUUUUUAAUCCAAGCUCUGUUUGGUUGCUGAGAAAAUAUGGGAAUGGAAAAGGUUAACAAGAAUGUCAUUUGAUUAGCUUAGUGUUGGUAUUUUUUUUGUUGGGGAGGUCGAGGAAACGUACUUCAGGUUUGUUUUCCUCUGGUUUGAUCCAAGCUCUGCUUGGUUGCUGAGAAAAUGUGGGAAUGGAAAAGAUUAACAAGAAUUUUAUUUGAUUAGCCUAGUGCUUUUAUUUGGGCAUUUAUUUUGUUAUUUGCUUGCUCCUUUUUCCUGAUCAAUUAUUUGGUGUGGUGUGUUUUUGUUUUGUUUGUUUUCUUUCCCUAAAGAUGCUACUGAUUAAUUUGUGAUCUCGUUGAGCUGGGAAUUCUCUCCUUGAUUAUGCCAAAGACCAGGAGCUGAAUCCUUACUCACCGGGUUUAGGAUAUUGUUAGGGUUAUGAGCGCUAUUGAGUUCGGUUUCCUUCUUAAUGACGAAAAAAAUGGAAGACAUGCUUUUGUCCUAAAAUUCAGUGUUUGUGGGUACUUCCAUAGAAUUAACAGUUUAUAUAAAAGGUCCUUCACAGUUGUGAUCCUGAGAGAACUUGGCAAUCGUUCCAUAUAAAGAUAUAGAUUAAUAUAGGUGGGAAUUGUAGAUAAUGUAGCGUAUUCCAUUCUUUUUUCAUAAUAAGGGGAAGUUUAAUACAGAGGUUAAAGGUAUAAAACUGGUUUAAAUCAUUUGGAAGACUAAUAUAUGAUUGGAUACUCUUUUUGCAUUUUGUUUUUAAUAACAGAAAAUAUUAAUAACUUCUAUAUAAAAUAGAAGAAUAAGAGGUUUACAUUGGAAAGGUAAUGGUUUUUAAAAAGCGUUUAUAAAAAUUAAGAUAGUAAAACAUUUUUAUUACCU
rnacentral:lncRNA from 1 species